CGUUCCCGGGCCUUGUACACACCGCCCGUCACACCACGGAAGCCGGCAACACCCGAAGCCGGUGGCCUAACCCGCAAGGGAGGGAGCCGUCGAAGGUGGGACUGGCGAUUGGGACU
rnacentral:rRNA from 1 species